rnacentral:rRNA from 1 species
CUACGGAAGGCGGCAGUAAGGAAUCUUGCACAAUGGGGGAAACCCUGAUGCAGCGACGCCGCGUGAGCGAUGAAGCCCUUCGGGGUGUAAAGCUCUUUCGGCAGGGACGAUAAUGACGGUACCUGCAGAAGCAGCUGCGGCUAACUACGUGCCAGCAGCCGCGGUAAUACGUAGGCAGCGAGCGUUGUUCGGAGUUACUGGGCGUAAAGGGUGCGUAGGCGGCCCCCUAAGUUUGGUGUGAAAUCUCCCGGCUCAACUGGGAGGGUGCGCCGGUUACUGAGGGGCUAGAGUGUGGGAAGGGAAAGUGGAAUUCCUGGUGUAGCGGUGAAAUGCGUAGAGAUCAGGAGGAACACCGGCAGUGUAAACGGCUUUCUGGACCAUAACUGACGCUGAGGCACGAAAGCGUGGGGAGCAAACAGGAUUAGAUACCCCGGUAGC